AGUGAACGCUGGCGGUAGGCCUAACACAUGCAAGUCGAACGGCAGCACAGUAAGAGCUUGCUCUUACGGGUGGCGAGUGGCGGACGGGUGAGGAAUACAUCGGAAUCUACUUUUUCGUGGGGGAUAACGUAGGGAAACUUACGCUAAUACCGCAUAUGACAUACGGGUGAAAGCAGGGGAUCUUCGGACCUUGCGCGAUUGAAUGAGCCGAUGUCGGAUUAGCUAGUUGGCGGGGUAAAGGCCCACCAAGGCGACGAUCCGUAGCUGGUCUGAGAGGAUGAUCAGCCACACUGGAACUUGGAAACGGUCCAGACUCCUACGGGAAGCAGCAGUGGGGAAUAUUGGACAAUGGGCGCAAGCCUGAUCCAGCCAUACCGCGUGGGUGAAGAAGGCCUUCGGGCUGUAAAGCCCUUUUGUUGGGAAAGAAAAGCAGCAGGUUAAUACCCCGCUGUUCUGACGGUACCCAAAGAAUAAGCACCGGCUAACUUCGUG
rnacentral:rRNA from 1 species